GUGAAUCAUCGAAUUUUUGAACGCAAAUUGCACUCCCUGGUAUUCCGGGAGGAUGCCCGUUUGAGGGUUGUUUGAAACAAAAAUCAAGCGUCGCCCUUUUUUUUAAGGGUGAUUGCGGCCGAAUUGAGCCCUCUUUCCAAAGUUAAUUCAUGUCAAAGUGGCUUAAAAAUCAUUCAUUCGGUUAGAUUAAAGUGUAUUUAAGAACAAUUUUGAUUAAGAACGCGCGAUGAAAGUAACAAUCCAUGUAGUUAGUUUGAAUU
rnacentral:misc_RNA from 1 species